rnacentral:antisense_RNA from 4 species
CGUUAUGGCGAUUGUGCGUGGGAGACCUUCGGGUCUGCCGGGGGUACCAGCCGGUCUUGCACACCUACGCACAGUUGCCACCUCU